rnacentral:rRNA from 1 species
GUCUACGGCCAUGCCACCCUGAACAAGCCUGAUGUCUGAUCUUGGAAGCUAAGCAGGGUCAGGCCUGGUUAGUACUUGGGUGGGAGACCACCUUAGAAGACCAGGUGCUGUAGGCA